UUUAAAAAAAAAACUUGGACUUCGAAGUUAUUUACAAAGCUAUGCCAUUGACAUUAAUUAUUUAGUUAAAUUUUUGAAAAAUAAUAAUAAUCAUUUUUAACAAAAUCCCUAAAAUCUCUCCCUAAUAAAUAUAAUAUCAUUACUUGUAAUCCAGCUUUUUUCAAAUAUUUCUCCAAAAUCUUUAUAUGAUUUUAUUUGUUUUUAAUUUAUUUUAUUACAUAAAACUUAUGUAUAAUAAAAACACAAAAUUUUUUUUUUCGCAUAUAUUGCAAUUUGACUUUUUUUUAAAUGGAUGUAUAUUAUAAAUGUUUUUAGCAUACGUACAACAUCCCAUAUCGGUAGAUUUUUUUUGAUAAUGGUUCAGAACCUUUAUAAAUAAGAUUAUAACCUUCCAACUACGAAUGACGGGACUAUAAACAUGGGUUUAAACUUUUUGGCGAAUAUAUGAUGGGAUGUGUUGUAAGACGGGAAUGAUUGUUAACUACAUAUAAAGUUUAAAAUAUUUUAAAUAUUUUUAAAAUUUUUAAACGUUUCAGUGUUAUUAAUAUUCUAGAUCUACACCAACUUUAUACUAAAAUAUUAUUGAUUUUGCCAUAUUUUUAAACAUGGAUUUAUUUUUUUGGCGAUUAUAUGAGCUGACAGGGCAUAACAUGGAAAAUGUUGUAAUAUGCUUCCAACAGAUUAUAUGACGGGUUGGGAUGUAAGACGGAACGGGUUUAAUUUGGUAUUAAUAAAAAAUUCUAAGAUUAUUAAUCUCACUGUUCAAUAUGGGUCAUUUACUAUUUUUUAAUAACACAGAUAUAAAUAUGUAUAAUUAAACUAAUUUAGUAAAUUUUGAUAUUACGCAAUCUUGAUAAUUAUAAAAAAAAAUCCAACAAAACCUAUCGAUUUUUAAAAACAUGAAUUACAAAGAAAAUGUUUAUUCCGUGGUGUACCGCGGGUUAAAAAUCUAGUCUAUAAUAACAUUUUUCAAUCACUUUUUAGAAUAAUUCCUGGACUUUAAAUCUAUUUACAAAGAAUGCCAUUAGAAUUUAUUAUUUAUUAAAAUUUUUGAAAACUAAUAAUAAACAUUUUUAACAAAAGUCCUUAAAGCUCUCCCUAAUAAAUAUAAUAUCAUUUCUUUUUUUCCACAUUUUCUCAAAUAUUUCUCCAAAAUCUUUAUAUGAUCUUUUUUUUUUAAAGUUAUUUUAUGACUUAAAACAUAUAUUUAAUAAAAAUAUAAUUUUUCGCAAAUAUUGUAAUUUUAAUUUUUUAACAGACGUAUAUUACAACUUUUUCGCAUAUGUACAACAUCCCACAUAAGGUCUAAUUUUUUUAAUAAUGUUUUAGAAACGUUAUAAAUAGGAUUAUAUAACCUUCCCAACUACCAAUGGGUUUAAUAUUUUGGGGAUUAUAUGACGGGACGGGUUGUUAACUCCAUAUACAGUUUAAAAAUUUAAAAUAUUGUGAAAUUUUUUAAAAAGCUUAAGUGUUAUUAAUAUUUUUAACUCUACACCAAGUUUAUACCAAAUAUUAUUGACUUUGCCAAUCUUUAAACAUAUAUUUUUUUGAUGAUUAUAUGACAUGACUGAGUAUAAGACGGGAAAUGUUGUAAUAUGCUUCCAACAUAUAAUAUGACGAGACGAGUUGUAAGACGGAAAGAGUUUGAGUAUAUAUUAUCAAAAAAAAAAAAAUAUAUUAAUCUCACAGUUCAAUACGGGUUAUUUUACUAUUUUUUUAACAACACUGAUAUAAAACAUAUAUAUCACCUCUUUUUGUCUUCUCACCUAUCCGGGUUCGAGUCCGGUCUCUCUCAAAGAGAGACUUGUAAUUUGUAAUGAUGUAUAAAAACAUUUAUAAUUAAACUAGUAAAGAAUGAUAUUAUGAAAUUUUAAUAAUUAUUACAUUAACUCCAAUAAAAUCUCCAAAUAUUCAUAAACAUGAAUUAAAAAGAAAAUGUUUAUUCGAUAGUGUACUGAAGGUUAUAUAUGUUUGUGCUCUAGACAUAACUCUGUUCUGCAUCCGCCACUAGCUGCGACUGUUAUUUGGAAAUUCAUAAUCGUUACAAAACCCAGCAGCACAACUUAAAGCUUUGUUUUUGAAGCAGCAAUAAUCAAAUUUUCAUGAUAAGAGAUUUGCAAAUCUGAAAAACUUAUCAUCUUCUUCCCCGUAACAGCAUACAAUUUUGUUGAAAACUUACUAAAUUUAUGAUAAUACCCCUUUAAAUACUCAUAAUUACAAAACUGGCGUGUUAAAAAAAUAAAAAUAAAAAGUAUCAGUCGCCGAAAUGAAACAUGUGAUUGUUAAAAAAAAAACAUGGCCAUAUACUGAUACUUAUAAAAAUAAAAUAACAUAUGUGUAAACGUAAUUUUACAAUUUUUUUGUGCUAUUGUGGUUGAUCCAACUUUGUAUGGACUAAGAUUAAUACAAAACCACAAUAUAUGUGCUUGUUUAAUCUAUUCCUAUAAAGAAUUUAUGCACUUUUGCGAUGUUGCAAAAAAUCAAAAAAAAGAAAAGAAAAAAAGAUAUGUCCGUUUUCCACGAAUCCAAAGAGAAAAAGGAAACAAAAAAAAAAAGAGUCACGAAUAUAUUUGAAGAAGAUGAAAAAGAAGGAACAUAAAGAGCUUUAAGCUUAUUCAUGUCGGUCUUGGAGAUUUAGCUCUAUCAACUUAUCAAAGUCAGUUUAGGAGAUCGGAUCCGAAAAGUAGUUAUAAAAGAGCUUCUUCUUGUCUUGUCUGAAGCUUUUACUUCAGAACCAACAAGAAACCCACAAAACAAGCAACCGUCAGUCAACCAAAUUAAGGAGAGAUUUUCGAAUCACUGUAACGAUGUCAAAUUACACUGGUCCGCUGCACAGUAAAAGGCAGAAGAAGGAUUCGUCCCUCUCUCCGUCGUCGUCGUUAUCAAUGUUGCCAAACGAUGUUGCUCUGAACUGCUUGUCUCGCCUCUCGAGAUUAGACAGCGCAGCAUUGUCUCUGACCUCCAAGAGCCACCGCUCUCUCGUGGUUUCGCCUGAGCUUUUCCGCACGCGUGAGCUGAUGGGUUGUACCGAGGAGUAUUGCUACAUCUGCUUAAGCACUCCUCCUAACCCAAUUCCAUGCUGGUUCAUCCUCCGCCGUGGAGGGUGAACUCUACAUGGCGCCGCUGUUAACAAGUCUGUGAAUCAGUGGCUAAGACCGAUCCCAUCGCAUCCUUAUCAUCAGCCUCUAGAAGCGUCCUCUUUCGUAGAGCUGGAUUUGGGGAUCUAUAUCAUUGGUGGAAUCAUAAACGGAAGCCCCACUUCAGAUGUCUUGCUUCUUGAUUGUCUCUCUCACACCUGGCGACGUGUCCCGUCCAUGAGAGUGGCUCGCACUUCCGCAGCAGUAAAAGUGGUAGAAGGGAAGAUUUACGUGUUUGGAGGCUGCCAGGAGGUUGAUUCCCCCAACAGGGCAGAGGUUUUCGACCCAAAGACGCAAACUUGGGACACCUUGCCAUUACCUGAGGAUCCAGAGAUACGCAAGAACACAAGUAUGAUCGACAAUAGUGUGGUGAUUGAAGGUAAAGUUUACGCGGUGGACGAGGAGGAUCAAAGCUUCUUCUACCUGCCACGUGAAGGUAUAUGGAGAAGAGGAAACCGGGAUUCUAAGCGGGGAAACCGAAUGGACUGGUGUGCCAUAGGGAAACUGUUAUACUGUUUUGGUACCCGCGGUAAAAUAAUGUGGUGUGAGCCAGAUGAGUUAGAUGGGAAGGAAGUGAAAGGUUUGGAUGUUGUGCAGUGGUGUGUAUUUGCUUUAAAAGCAAACAACUGUGCUAUGGACGAGACUCUCGCUUGGAAGCUCCACAUGACCGAAAAUGGUCUCAGCAGACUGAGCAGCAAUUCUCGUGGGAACAUUGUGGUCUUCUGGAAGGUGCAUAUCCCGCGUACUGAACGGUUGGAGCUUUGGUCUGCAGAGAUUUCUUUGGAGAGGCGCGAGGGAGGCGACAUUUGGGGGACAAUUUGAAGAAACAGAGUGUUUGAAGGACCAACAGUUGCAGAACCUGAAAAUGCUCAGAAGAACUCUUAGAAGCACGAUGCCACGCUGGCAUCUUGUUGACAGCGCAACACUUCGAUCGUGAUGAGAAGCAGCACGUUUGGUGCCCAACGUUGGUAACGAAGUCAAAGGGCAGGAGUGACAGCUACAGCAAAAAGCAUGUAAAGUUGUCAGACAAAAGGUGGUUGUUGUUGGCUAGUGGGAAGCUAGUGAAGUCAACAUCAUGACAAGAAGCUGCGCAGUGUCCGCUGGAUAAAGAGAGGACCUGCGAGUUGUUUUGUUGCCUAUAUAAGAAGAGAGCUUUCUUCUUAUUAGGGUUAGCACUUUAAGAAGAAAAAGUGUGAGAGUUCUUUGUGUUCAUAUCUGAGUUUCAAACGAAGAAUUGUUGUGGGUUCUUUUGGUGAGUGAACAAAAGAGUGUGCAUAGCUGUUGCUGUGCUGGUAAGCUGGGUAGAUUAGGAAUCGAUCAGGACCAAAUCACAGUGUGUGAUGUUGGUUAACACUGAUCAAACAAGAUUGUAAAAGAGUUGUUUGAAGAUUGCUAAUAAAACCAAGUUUGAAGAAAUUUCUGUAUCUUUGUAGUCGUUUCAAGGUUCUAGUUCUUACAAUUGGUAUCAGAGCAGGAAACCGAUCUGUGAGACUUUCUCGUCUCCAAACAGGUUAGAUCCUGAACUAUGGAACCUACUACUGUUGGUACAGGAACAAGCAAGAACAUCACUCUGGAUACAAGAAGAUAUGGGUACUGGAAAGUUAGGAUGACACAACUCAUCAGAGGUCAAGUUGAAGAAACAUGGACUGCUGUAGAAGAAGGUUGGGAACCUUCGUUCGAGUCGACUGCUGAAAGGAACAACCAUAGAGAUAAAGCUGAAGAUGAUCGCCUAAGCCUUGUUGUCUUUACUGCCAAAAUUGACAAACUGCAAGAUUCUGAUACUGAUUCAGACAGCAAUGAUGAAGUGAAUCCUAAAAAGGAAUACAGGACGCUCUAUGACAGUUGGAUGCAACUGAGUCAAGACAAGCUUAAACUUCUGGAAGAAAAGCUGAGUCUUGAAGCCAAAAUCACUAGUGCCUAUGAAGAAAAAAAUCGUCCUCCCACUCCUACCUUAAGUUGUGAUAAGUUCACUCAGGACUUGUUCAAGAAAGCUGAAGAUCUUCACAUCUAUCUUAACAAAGAAAGGAUAGAGCAACCAUGCUAGAACGAGAGCUUAACGACAAGCAUAAGCAUAUCAGAAUGUUGAACAGUGCGUCGGGCGACCUGAAUAACAUUCUGAAAAGGCCUGAGCAUCAAGGAUUAGGAUACCAAGAAGGUCAAGAACAGUGCAACAAAAGGUCUGUGAAGUUUACCAGUGGAGGGAUGCUAGAAGAAACAGUGGAUAAUCAACAGUCUGGCAUUGAUAACUUGGUGGAACUUAGUACUGUGAAAAGAAAAGACAAUACUAAAAGUUACUCUACGAGAAGAGUGUUCAACAGAAGGUUUUAUGGAUGUGGUCACUGUGGAAGAAAAGGUCAUCAAAGGAGCAGAUGCUACAAGUUCAAGGAAAGAGUCUGUCUUCUAUGGACUCUGAACAGAGGAUACUUAGAACCAACCAAGUUCUGUCACAUGUGGGUGUCAAAGAAAGAUCUCUAUGGAGACAUGCAGAGUGAAGUGUCUAACAAACAUCUUCAAGACAUGUACGAUACAGAAGAGGCAGUCUACAACAGUUGUGAAAGUGAAGUCACUAUAGAGCAUCUGAAGGAGAAGACAGGAGAUGUCCAAAACUUGAACUGCACCCUCGUGUGUACAGAACCCACAGUUGCAGCUAUGCAUGCCCAUGUUGCGUAUACCUCUGCGGCUACUCCGGAUGGUAAUUCGUGGUAUUUUGACAGUGGUUGCUCUAGACACAUGACCGGAGAUCGAAAUACUCUUGACGACUACACAAAUGUGUCAAGUGGAAAAGUCACCUUCGGGGAUGGCGGUAAGGGCAACAUAAAAGGAAAGGGUUUGAUUUCAAAAUCAAAUCAACCUCAAUUGGAAAAUGUCUACUUUGUUGAGGGAUUAAAGGCUAACUUGAUCAGCAUCAGUCAGCUCUGCGAUGAUGGCUUGAAAGUUUCUUUUACAAAGAUUAACUGUAGUGCCUGUGAUGAAAAUGAUAAUGAAGUGCUUUCAGGUGUGCGAUCAGAAAAUAAUUGCUAUAUGUGGAAGAAGUCUGAAACGUGUCUGUCGGCAACAACGUCUAAAUUAGAUCUGUGGCAUAGACGUCUGGGACAUAUUAACACACAGAGUUUGAUCAAGAUUGUGAAUGCAGAAGUGGUUAGAGGAAUUCCCAAGCUGGAAGGAAAAUCUGAUGCAGUAUGUGAGGCAUGUAGCAAAGGAAAGCAGAUCAAAGUUCAACACAAGAAAACAGCUGAUAUUGGAACAAAGAAAAUUCUUGAGCUUGUCCACAUGGAUCUCAUGGGACCAAUGCAAACAGAAAGCCUGAAUGGGAAAAGGUAUGCCUUUGUUUUAGUUGAUGAUUUUUCAAGAUACACAUGGGUUAGAUUUUUAAGAGAAAAAUCAGAAGCAGUUGAAAGCUUUAGGAUUCUGGCUCUUCAGCUGCAAACUGAAAAGGGAAGCAUUGUCCAAAUCCGAAGUGAUCAUGGUGGUGAGUUUCAAAAUGAGGAGUUUGAAAAGUUCUGUAACCUGCAAGGCAUCAGACAUCAAUAUUCUGCCCCAAGAACGCCACAACAGAAUGGAAUUGUUGAAAGGAAAAACAGAACUCUUCAAGAAAUGGCAAGGGCAAUGAUUCAUGGAAACAAUGUGUCACCUAGGUUCUGGGCUGAAGCAAUUAACACAGCCUGUUACAUCAUCAAUCGUGUUUAUGUUAAACCAAAAACGAGCACUACUCCUUACGAAAUUUGGAAAGGAAAGACACCAAAUCUGUGCUACUUUCAUACCUUUGGAUGCAUAUGCUACAUUCUAAAUGAUAAAGAUCAUCUUGGAAAAUUUGAUGCAAGGAGUGAUGAAGGGAUAUUUCUGGGAUAUGCAACAAAUAGCAUGGCUUACAGAGUGUAUAAUAAACGCCUUAAGAGAGUAGAGGAAUCUGUCAAUAUCGUGUUUGAUGACAGAAGUCCAACACAAUUGUUUCCAGUUGCUGUAGAUGAUGAAACUCCUAAUGAGGAGGCUACUCAGGAAAAACCAGAAGAAGACCAAGAAAGGAUAAGUAACGAUAGUCAAGGUGAAACAUCAGAAACAGUGGGUGAAACUGCAAACACUCCGUUAAAAGUACCAAGAAAUCACUCUGAAUCGGAUGUUAUUGGACACUUGAGAGGUGAUCGUACUACUCGGGGAGUCCAGAUUAACUUCAGAGAAAUGCUUCAACAUUCAUGCUUUGUGUCUGUUAUGGAGCCCAAAGAUGUGUUUGCAGCUCUUGAAGAUGAGUUUUGGUUCUCAGCUUGUCAUGAAGAGUUAAACCAGUUUACCCGACAUGAUGUGUGGAAUCUUGUUCCAAGACCUACUCAUAUAAAUGUCGUGGGAACGAAAUGGAUUUUCAAGAACAAGAUUGAUGAAAAUGGAAAUGUAACAAGGAAUCGAGCAAGAUUGGUUGCUCAAGGAUAUUCACAGGUUGAAGGAGUAGACUUUGAUGAGACAUUUGCUCAUGUAGCUCGUCUAGAAUCUAUUCGGCUGCUUCUUGGUAUGGCAUGUCUUCUAAACAUCAAGAUGUUUCAAAUGGAUGUAAAGAGUGCUUUUCUAAAUGGAUUGAUCCAAGAAGAAGUCUACGUAUCUCAACCUAAAGGAUUUGAAGAUCCAAACUUUCCAGAUCAUGUCUACAAGCUGAAGAAAGCUCUCUAUGGAUUAAAGCAGGCUCCUCGUGCUUGGUAUGAACGUCUUACUGAGUUUCUGGUUGAUAAUGGGUUCAAGCGUGGGAGUGUUGACAAAACCCUGUUUGUCUAUGAAGAAGGUGUGGACAUUCUUAUUGUCCAAAUAUAUGUUGAUGAUAUUGUGUUUGGAAGCAUAAGAAAAGAAUUAGUGAAUACCUUUGUAAAGGUUAUGACAAAGGAAUUUGAGAUGAGUAUGGUAGGAGAAAUGAACUACUUUCUGGGUCUGCAAAUCAAACAGACAGAUGAUGGGAUUCAUGUAUCUCAGGGAAACUAUGCCAAGAGCUUAAUUCAAAGAUUUGGAAUGCAGACUAGCAAGACGUCCAGAACAGCAAUGAGCUCCACUGUGAAACUAUCCAAAGAUGAAUAGGGACAGAAAGUUGAUGAAAAACUAUAUCGGGCUAUGAUUGGAAGUCUUCUGUACCUCACUACAAGCAGACCUGAUCUAUGCUUCAGCGUGGGAGUCUGUGCAAGAUAUCAGGCCGAUCCAAGAUUGUCUCAUCUGAACGCUGUUAAGAGGAUCAUCAAAUAUGUGAAAGGUACCACUGACCGAGGGUUGUAUUAUACUAAGCAAACUAAUCCGAAUCUUGCUGGUUUUUGUGACUCAGAUUGGGCAGGUAAUCUGGAUGAUAGAAGAAGUACCUCAGGCGGAUGCUUCUUUCUGGGAAAUAACCUCAUAUCCUGGCACAGUAAGAAGCAAAGCUGUGUAACCUUGUCAACAGCUGAAGCUGAAUACAUUGCCCUAAGAAGUUGCUGCACGCAAUUAAUGUGGAUGAAACAAAUGCUAUCUGACUAUGGUAUUGUUUCCUCAACCUUAUUUGUGUAUUGUAACAACAUGAGUGCUAUAAAUAUUUCAAAAAAUCCUGUCCAACACUCUCGUACAAAACAUAUUGACAUUAGACAUCAUUUCGUUAGAGAACUUGUUGAAAACAAAGUGAUAGAGAUCUCUCAUGUAUCCUCAGAAAAACAACUUGCUGAUAUGUUCACUAAACCAUUAGAUUUAAACAGUUUUGUAAAUCUGCAAAAAUCUAUUGGAUUGUGUGAUCACUAAUGAUUCUUGUCUUUAAGGCGUAUGCAACAGGUUCCUCUGUACAGGGUUGCAUAGCUUUGUGUCUGUAUUUUAAACAAAAAACUUUCAGCAAGUCUUCUCAGGAAAACAGCUGCUUCGCAUACUACUUGUCGAAGAAGUCCGAUACGGAUGUGUAGUGGCUGCAAGAAAAAGAAAAUCUCCAGAAAAGUGUAGGCAGGAAAGGGGUGAUACUUCUUUCUAUCUUCAAAGGUACAUCGUGUGUAUAUAUGUACUUUAUCAAAAAAAAAAACAAAAAAAAAAACAAAAAAAAAAAACAAAAAAAAAAAACGAAAAAAAAGAUAAAAGUUUCAAAGAAACAAAAAAAAAAGGGGAAGUUAAAGGAUCCCUCUUCUCUCUGCUCAUAUCACCCCCCUCGCCGUGAGAGCAGCUCCUACACAUCUUGAGGAUGAAAUCUAAAGAAGUAUGCUGAGUGUAGACUAGCCUGAAGAGAUCAAUGUGUAUGUUUCAUCUCAUUGGGCUGCAAAGACUUUGUCUUCCAAGUAACUCAAGACGUAAACAGCUAUGCACCUCUGUCCAAAGGAAUAUUUAC
rnacentral:lncRNA from 1 species